rnacentral:rRNA from 1 species
GAUCCUGGCUCAGGACGAACGCUGGCGGCGUGCUUAACACAUGCAAGUCGAACGGAGCACCCUUGAUUGAGGUUUCGGCCAAAUGAUAGGAAUGCUUAGUGGCGGACUGGUGAGUAACGCGUGAGGAACCUGCCUUCCAGAGGGGGACAACAGUUGGAAACGACUGCUAAUACCGCAUGACGCAUGAUCGGGGCAUCCCGGACAUGCCAAAGAUUUUAUCGCUGGAAGAUGG